rnacentral:rRNA from 1 species
GAUGAACGCUGGCGGCGUGCCUAAUACAUGCAGUCGAGCGAACGGACGAGAAGCUUGCUUCUCUGAUGUUAGCGGCGGACGGGUGAGUAACACGUGGAUAACCUACCUAUAAGACUGGGAUAACUUCGGGAAACCGGAGCUAAUACCGGAUAAUAUUUUGAACCGCAUGGUUCAAAAGUGAAAGACGGUCCUGCUGUCACUUAUAGAUGGAUCCGCGCUGCAUUAGCUAGUUGGUAAGGUAACGGCUUACCAAGGCAACGAUGCAUAGCCGACCUGAGAGGGUGAUCGGCCACACUGGAACUGAGACACGGUCCAGACUCCUACGGGAGGCAGCAGUAGGGAAUCUUCCGCAAUGGGCGAAAGCCUGACGGAGCAACGCCGCGUGAGUGAUGAAGGUCUUCGGAUCGUAAAACUCUGUUAUUAGGGAAGAACAUAUGUGUAAGUAACUGUGCACAUCUUGACGGUACCUAAUCAGAAAGCCACGGCUAACUACGUG